CACGUAGGGCGCAAGCGUUGUCCGGAAUUAUUGGGCGUAAAGAGCUCGUAGGCGGUCUGUCGCGUCGGCUGUGAAAACCCGAGGCUCAACCUCGGGCCUGCAGUCGAUACGGGCAAACUAGAGUACUGCAGGGGAGACUGGAAUUCCUGGUGUAGCGGUGGAAUGCGCAGAUAUCAGGAGGAAUACCGGUGGCGAAGGCGGCAUCCUGGACCGGCAUUGACGCUGAGGAGCGAAAGCCAGGGGAGCAAACGGG
rnacentral:rRNA from 1 species